rnacentral:rRNA from 1 species
UGAAUACGAGACGCUAAGGCGUCGAAGUAGUGUAUGUCAUACUUCCAAGAAAAGCUUGCACUGUCAUAGAUAAAAAACGCCUGUACCAUAACCGACACAGGUGGGUAGGUAGAGUAUACUAAGGGGCGCGAGAUAACUCUCUCUAAGGAACUCGGCAAAAUAACUCCGUAACUUCGGGAGAAGGAGUGCCUUAUUCGUAAGGUUGCAAUAACAAGAUCCAAGCAACUGUUUAUCAAAAACACAGGUCUCCGCUAAGUCGUAAGACGAUGUAUGGGGGCUGACGCCUGCCCAGUGCCAGAAGGUUAAAGAAGUUGGUUAGCAAUUGCGAAGCUGAUAACUGAAGCCCUGGUGAACGGCGGCCGUAACUAUAACGGUCCUAAGGUAGCGAAAUUCCUUGUCGGGUAAGUUCCGACCCGCACGAAAGGCGUAAUGAUUUGGAUACUGUCUCGGAGAGGGGCUCGGUGAAAUAGACUUGUCUGUGGAGAUGCGGACUACCUGCACCAGGACAGAAAGACCCUAUGAAGCUUUACUGUAACUUGAAAUUGAAAUUGGACUUUAUUCGCGCAGUAUAGGUGGGAGGCGUUGAUUAUAAUCUUGUGGGAUUAUUGGAGCCAUCAGUGAGAUACCACUCUUGUAAUGUUAGAUUUCUAACUUUGAAUCAUUAUCUGGUCAAAGAACAGUUUCAGGCGGGCAGUUUGACUGGGGCGGUCGCCUCCUAAACGGUAACGGAGGCGUACAAAGGUUUCCUCUGAACGGUUAGAAAUCGUAUCUAGAGUGUAAAGGCAUAAGGAAGCUUGACUGUGAGACCUACAAGUCGAGCAGGGACGAAAGUCGGUCUUAGUGAUCUGACGGUACUGAGUGGAAAGGCCGUCACUCAACGGAUAAAAGUUACUCUAGGAUAACAGGCUGAUCUCCCCCAAGAGUUCACAUCGACGGGGAGGUUUGGCACCUCGAUGUCGGCUCAUCGCAUCCUGGGGCGGUAGUACGUCCCAAGGGUUGGGCUGUUCGCCCAUGAAAGCGGUACGCGAGCUGGGUUCAGAACGUCGUGAGACAGUUCGGUCCAUAUCCGGUGUAGGCGUUAGAAUAUUGAGAGGAGCCUUCUUUAGUACGAGAGGACCGAGAAGGACAUACCUCUGGUGUACCAGUUAUCGUGCCAACGGUAAACGCUGGGUAGCUAUGUAUGGAGUGGAUAACCGCUGAAAGCAUCUAAGUGGGAAGCCCACCUCAAGAUAAG